rnacentral:rRNA from 1 species
AUACGAAGGGUGCAAGCGUUACUCGGAAUUACUGGGCGUAAAGCGUGCGUAGGUGGUCGUUUAAGUCCGUUGUGAAAGCCCUGGGCUCAACCUGGGAACUGCAGUGGAUACUGGGCGACUAGAGUGUGGUAGAGGGUAGCGGAAUUCCUGGUGUAGCAGUGAAAUGCGUAGAGAUCAGGAGGAACAUCCAUGGCGAAGGCAGCUACCUGGACCAACACUGACACUGAGGCACGAAAGCGUGGGGAGCAAACAGGAUUAGAUACCCUGGUAGUCCACGCCCUAAACGAUGCGAACUGGAUGUUGGGUGCAAUUUGGCACGCAGUAUCGAAGCUAACGCAAUAAGUACUCCACCUGGGGAGUACGUUCGCAAGAAUGAA